GAUGAAGAACGUAGCGAAAUGCGAUAAGUAAUGUGAAUUGCAGAAUUCAGUGAAUCAUCGAAUCUUUGAACGCACAUUGCGCCCGCCAGUAUUCUGGCGGGCAUGUCUGUUCGAGCGUCAUUUCAACCCUCAGGUCCCCCUUUUCGGAGGGGGAGACACCCUGGUGUUGGGGGACGGCAUCCUGGCCCGCUGUCUCACAGUGUGCCACGCCGCCCCCGAAAUGAAUUGACGGCCUCGUCGCGUGCCACCCCUGCGUAGUAGCACAACCUCGCAACGGGAGCCCGACGCGGCCACUGCCGUAAAACGCCCAACUUUUACCGAGUUGACCUCGAAUCAGGUAGGAAUACCCGCUGAACUUAAGCAUAUCAAUAAGCGGAGGA
rnacentral:misc_RNA from 1 species